rnacentral:lncRNA from 1 species
GGGAGGAGGACCCGGGGACAGAAUGCAGUUGAUUUCAGCCAACACCUCUCAAACCUCACUUUUCCACUGCCAACAAAUAUUGUUGAACGCUAGAUGAAGGAUCUCGUCACCCGCUGGGAAUGACAAGAUUUACACAUCCCAAGCAGAGGACCACAUAGAAAUGGAGAGGCAGACUGGAAGACGCCUCUAAACAUCCCCUUGAUGCUGACUGAAUCACCCACAUGAGCGGAUACAGGAGCGCUCAAGCUACCACUGCCUGCCACCCACCUUCCUAGCAGGUGUGCUUGUGCUGUUACUUUGCUACUUGAUAAAGCAUUGUUCUAUCAGGAUGACCGGGAAGUAGAAACACAAAGGGCCGGUUGCCACGAGCAGAAGGUGGGUCUCACUCAUGGAAUACAGGUAAGGCAACGUGGAAAUCCCUGACCCCCUUUGCUCUGGGAAGCUCUCAGGAAAAUCUUUGAAAUUGGUCCUGAGGUCCCCCUUGCCACCUCAGGGCAUGGUUUUUCCUGUUGCUGGGAAAGGAUGGAAUGAAGAGGCCCCGAGUGGCUUUUGAGUCAGGUACAACCGCCAUACGUGCCCUGGGAGAACCAGAUUCUACAGCUUUUAUGCAGCAUCGGAAGGUCUUUGGCUAAUUGUCUCUGUGUUUGAGGAGUACGCUUGCUUGUUCCUUUAAUGUGUGCUCCUAUAAAUAGAUUCUGCUGCCACCUGAACAUCUGUGUCCCAAAAAGGGCUUUUUUUAAGUUGUAAAUGGUUGUCACCAUCAUCCCUCAUUUCUGCCCCAAUUUAAAACAACGAAGGCACUCAGCUUUGCUCCUCCCCCCACCCCCCUGCUGCAGCACAUCCGCCG